rnacentral:sRNA from 1 species
AUGGCUGUCGUCAGCUCGUGUCGUGAGAUGUUGGGUUAAGUCCCGCAACGAGCGCAACCCCCGUGUUCUGUUGCCACCCGGAUGAGAAUCCGGAGCACUCUGGACAGACUGCCUGGUUUCAACCAGGAGGAAGGUGGGGAUGACGUCAAGUCAGUAUGGCCCUUACGGCCAGGGCUGCACACGUACUACAAUGCCUGAUAUAAUGGGAAGCGAGACCGCGAGGUGGAGCAAAUCCUCAAAAUCAGGCCCAGUUCAGAUUGUAGGCUGCAACUCGCCUACAUGAAGGAGGAAUCGCUAGUAAUGCCGUAUCAGCUACGACGGCGUGAAUACGUUCCCAGGCCUUGUACACACCGCCCGUCACAUCAUGAAAGUCGAUUGUACCCGAAGUCGCUGAGUUAACCGCAAGGAGACAGGUGCCGAAGGUAUGGUUGGUAAUUGGGAUGAAGUCGUAACAAGGUAGCCGUAGGGGAACCUGUGGCUGGAUCACCUCCUUUCUAAGGAGAUAAACUGUGGUGGCAUAAGCCGUCACGAGGUCGAACCGGGAUGCUUGUCAUCCUGGCAGGGCUCGGACCUUAUUGUGCAAUUCAGUGUUCCGAGAACGGUGUUCUUUUGACAAGAAAGCUUUGCUCCGGACGAACACGUUCGGCAAAAAAAAAGUUCAAAAGGGGCUGUAGCUCAGUUGGUAGAGCGUCUGCUUUGCAAGCAGGAUGUCAGGAGUUCGAAUCUCCUCAGCUCCACCAAUCAAAACCGGUCGGGCCUGUAGCUCAGUUGGUUAGAGCGCGCCCCUGAUAAGGGCGAGGUCACUGGUUCAAAUCCAGUUAGGCCCACCACCCCAGCUUUUUUGGCGGCAACAGUAUCGGUCGCCAAGGUUCUUUGACAACUGUAUGCAGUGAUAUUGCGGCAGAAAAUGCAAUACGCUGAGAAUUAAUUUGGAUAUUUUCAAUUUAUUGAAAUAACCAAGUUCUUUUUGUGAUCAAGCUACUAAGGGCACGAGGUGAAUGCCUUGGCUCCAGAAGUCGAUGAAGGACGUAGUAAGUUGCGAUAAGCCGCGGCUAGCGACAAACACGCUUAACCGUGGAUUUCCGAAUGGGGAAACCCGG